UUUCUUCAAUGAUUUGUGAUCUUCACUGGUGUUCAUGGAUUACAUGAAAUUCUCUUCACCUGUAAUUUAUUUCAAGUAUUUAUUUAUUUAGGUUUACAUAAAUCAGGGUUCCAGCACAUAAAACUCACAGAAAUAGGAUUCUAAAGUUUUAUAGAAUUGAGGUGAAAUCACAUCCUUCACAACUGGAUUAAGGACAAAACCCCCUCAAUUUUUUUUGAUGGCAGAGGGCGUUAAUGGAAUACAUUCCUUUGGAACGCCUGACUAGUCUCUCACACUCCAAAACUGAUAUCUUUGAGAAAACUUGGAGGCCAUUCCUUGACUAUAGUAAUGUGAACAUUUCUGCCUAUGUGACAGACAGAGCUGUGGGUGGUAGUUUGUCCCUCAUGGUGUUCCAUAGAUGAACAUUCAUGGCCAGCACCUGUCUGUUGAGCUGUGAUUGGCUCACAAGGCUGAUAAAUAGCAGCAGUGGGAGUUCCAUCUAGGUGCUGGUUUCCUGGUUUGGCCUUGGUGGGUGAGCUUGACAUGUGGACCUUUUUUACUAAAGCUUUUAAUCAUUUGAGUCCUUUUACUAAAGUUUUUAAGCAUUUGAGUUUGCAAGAUUUUAAAUUAUAUUUAUAUUAACAGGUGGUGGCAUGAGUUCUGACCCUGGGGCAUGAGAGUAUCUUGGUGUCUGGACCUGGCUGAAGGUGGCUGCCUCCUCCUUUUAUCCUUAUGGUGGCUGGUACUCCUGGUGAGGGUUUUGGAUCGGAGAUCUCCCUUGGUGGUGGUUGUGGCUACCCGCCAGUGCAGUGGGGCUGAGGCAAUCCUGGAGGCAGCCGCCCUCAUGCAGUGUUCGAGUGCGGUCCAACUGUCCGAGUCUAUUUUAACUUUCUCUUUUAUGGAAUUUGUGUCAAGUUUUUAAUUAUGUUUUUAACCUAUCAAAUCCAGUCUCCAUUUGGGUUACAAAUGUAAGAGGGCGUUCGGUCACACCUAUAUGAUAAGAGCAUUUGUGUAGAAGUGUACUUUCUUUUCGUCUGCUG